AAUUAAUGGGUAGAGCCAGGGCCGCGCCAAGGCUUUCAAGCGGCCCCGGGAUAUAAAUCAAAGGAAUGACAGCAGUAAGAAAAGCACCAGUUUUUCAUGAAAUCACGACUAGAGGUUGGAAAUAUCUACAAUUUAAAGCGAUUAUGCUUCCAACAAGUUUCAUAGUGUUACGCUAAAACUUAUAUGUGCUGUUGCUGUAUAAUACUUCAAUUUUGCAAAAACUAUA
rnacentral:lncRNA from 1 species